rnacentral:rRNA from 1 species
GCUCAGGAUGAACGCUGGCGGUCUGCUUAACACAUGCAAGUCGAACGCAACCUUCGGGUUGAGUGGCGGACGGGUGAGUAACGCGUGAGAAUCUGCCUUGGGGUCGGGGACAACCACUGGAAACGGUGGCUAAUACCGGAUAAGCCUUUGGGUAAAAGAUUUAUUGCCCCAAGAGGAGCUCGCGUCUGAUUAGCUAGUUGGUGAGGUAAAAGCUCACCAAGGCAGCGAUCAGUAGCUGGUCUGAGAGGACGAUCAGCCACACUGGGACUGAGACACGGCCCAGACUCCUACGGGAGGCAGCAGUGGGGAAUUUUCCGCAAUGGGCGAAAGCCUGACGGAGCAAGACCGCGUGAGGGAGGAAGGCUCUUGGGUUGUAAACCUCUUUUCUCAGGGAAGAAGCUCUGACGGUACCUGAGGAACCAGCCUCGGCUAACUCCGUGCCAGCAGCCGCGGUAAUACGGAGGAGGCAAGCGUUAUCCGGAAUUAUUGGGCGUAAAGCGUCCGCAGGUGGCGAUUCAAGUCUGCUGUCAAAGCACGGGGCUUAACUCCGUUAAGGCAGUGGAAACUGAAUAGCUAGAGUGCCGUAGGGGUAGAGGGAAUUCCCGGUGUAGCGGUGAAAUGCGUAGAGAUCGGGAAGAACAUCGGUGGCGAAAGCGCUCUACUGGACGGCAACUGACACUCAGGGACGAAAGCUAGGGGAGCGAAUGGGAUUAGAUACCCCAGUAGUCCUAGCUGUAAACGAUGGAUACUAGGUGUAGCUUGUAUCGACCCGAGCUGUGCCGAAGCUAACGCGUUAAGUAUCCCGNCUGGGGAGUACGCACGCAAGUGUGAAAC